rnacentral:tRNA from 1 species
ACCUGGCUGGCUCAGUCAGUACAGCAUGAGACUUCUGAUCUCACGGUGGUAGGUUUGAGCCCCACUCUGGGUG